AGCUUUGUGCAGUGGCAGUAUCGUAGCCAAUGAGGUUUAUCCGAGGCACAAUUAUUGCUAAUUGAAAACUUUUCCCAAUAUCAGGGGCUUAGGGCUGGCUCUGAAAUGUUUGUUUUCCCAGACCCCAGUGGCCCUGGG
rnacentral:snRNA from 1 species